rnacentral:rRNA from 1 species
ACAAGAUUUCACCCCUACCCCUGAAGUACCUCUCACCUCUCCCGGCCUCGAGCCGAACAGUAUCUCCUGAAAGCCCAAACGUUGAGCUGCUGGAUUUCUCAAGAGACUUAUCCGGCCGGCUACAGACCCUUUAGACCCAAUAAUAACGGUUACCACUCGAGCCGCCGGUGUUACCGCGGCGGCUGGCACCGGUCUUGCCCGGCCCUUGCUAUGCAAUGCUUUUUAGGCAUCACGACAGCCAGAUUUGUAACCUGGCACUCGAGGUCCCCUUAUCGCCGUUGCCGGCAUUGUAAAGUUUUCGCGCCUGCUGCACCCCGUAGGGCCUGGAUUCGUGUCUCAGAAUCCAUCUCCGGGCUCUUGCUCUCACAACCCGUACCCGUCGUAGGCUAGUAGGUACGCUACACCCACUACUACCUGAUAGGCCGCAGACCCAUCCUCUGGCGCCGGAGCUUUCGAUCUCGGGGCAUUCCAGCGACCGAGAUCUAUCGGGGAUUAUACCCAGUUUCCCGGGUUUAUACCCGUCCGGAGGGUAGGUUGUCC